ACUGGGCUUCGUGCAUAUGACUUUAUAUGUUCAAUGUCCCUUCUCCAUUUUACCCUCCGUCCCCAAGUCCCGGGACCUGGACGGACCUUGAGUGCCUCACAAAAAUAAAAAAGAAGCUAUAAUGUCAGAUCCUGGACAGCCUGAAGCACAGCACUGCAACUGGACCUCUUCCCUUUCUGGAUCGGAGAUUACCUGGAAGCAGACCCCGCGAGGAAGGUGCCAGUGCCAGUGAUUAGAAGGGUCAGCCCCUGGAAGAAACUGGUCCAAGAGUGGGAGAAGCAAGCCUGGGAGCUGGAGGGAGCCAAGGCUGUGAGAUUUCAGACCCCUGACCAGGCAGCCAGACCGCUUACCGCAGCUCAGGACUCCCCAGUAUAUUCUUACCAAAAGCCGUUUCUCUCUCCUCACAAACGGGAUGACAAGAUCACAUGCACCUGCUCCAGAACUUAGAGAUCCACAGUGCAACUCUCCAGAUACAACUUGCCAAAUACACAUGGUGCUCUGAUUUAUCACAGGUACCUCCUGCCCCAGGGGAUUUUUCCAGUUUACA